GGCGCUGUAGUGUAGCGGUUAUCACUCGAGAUUCUGAUUCUUUGGCUGGGUCAUUCUCGUAACCCAGGUUCGAGUCCUGGCAGUGCCU